rnacentral:lncRNA from 1 species
GCAGGGGUGCAGGGCAGCUGGGAUCUAGGGCUCCAGGCAUGUCGCACACAUUGUUCUGGAGAUGAUGGACCUUAUUAAGCAGAGAGGGAGCGAUUGUAGCAGGCUGACACAAGCUGGAUGAAGAGAGAAGGCCGAGAGGUGAAAGAAUACCACAGCCCCUCACUGACAAUUUGGAAGUGUGGAGAUGACAUUUCAGACUCCGAGCUGAAAAUCCUCAAAGGCCUGGAGAUCAACUCACCCACAUCAGGCAGCAGUACCUGUGAUCAUGAUGUGACAAGCCUGCGAUGCCACCCAUGCAUUCGUGCCUAGAAGAGAAGGCACAAAGGAGGUUCCAAGGUCCCUUGUGACCACCCUGCCUUCAUGACACCAGACUGGGAUCUUCCUGUUUGUUUCUCAUUUGAAAAAAAUGAAAUCCUCUCUUCGAGCUCA